GACGAAACCUGGAAAGAAGGUCGACGGCUAGCUCUGGUUGAUCACCUAGCGCAGAAUAUGUUCGUUAAGAUGUAAAACUGUCCCCUGCGGAUACUGUCUGUGAACGGAAAUACGACCUUCAAGGCUUGGACCAGGAGGUGGAGGCCGUGGAGCAUUUUGUCCAUACCAUAUCGUUGUAGCUGCAGUGCAUGUAACCUGCAUAUCAUACAUGUGUAACAGUGUAGAAACGAGGAAAAGAAAUGGGACUGGUGAAUUUGUUAUCAAUUCAAAAGCUGCACAUGGUAAGAAGGUUCAAUUUUCUCUUUAUUAAUAUUAUAUAUUCUCUUUACACAUUUUACUGGUUGGAGAAGGUGUAUGGUUUCAUGUCUUGAAUAAAUGAACCUGCCCCACACCUCUCUUUUUCUUUCUUUAAUUCCCCUCUAUUAUGGUCUGGGGUUUAUGUGGUUUGAGGGUAAAAAGCUUUAUUUUGAGGGGAAGUGCUGCCCAAAUUUUUUAUGAAGCUGGACUUAAGUAAUUUUUCUGGAAUUUUGCCCCUGGAAGUUAUUUAUCAUUUUUGAAAUGAACACAAAGACAUCUAUACAUAAGGGGCUUUUUAGUUUUGCAUCCAAAAAGGAAGGAUUAUUUUGUAAAUACUUAUUUGGUAGCAAUUAACCAUAAAUGAAAUUAGAAUUGAAAAAGUAAACAAAUACAGUCACAAUGAUUCAUUCACAAAAAUAAUGUUUUACAAACUCAAAAUAUUAGUUUUCUUUAUUUUAUAAUCAGAAUUUUCAUAUUAAGUCAUCUUUUGCAUGUGAUCAGAGACCAAGUGGUCUGAUACCUUACAUAUUUAGUCAUUUAAAAACACCUAGAAUGAUGUGUAGAAUGCAGGAUAAUGCAUGAAGGCAAAAAAGAAAAUUAAGAAGGGGGGCACCCACCCUCAUUCCACAUUAUUAGAAAUUAAAUAUGAGUCUGUGAUCUAUAAGAAUAAAGGUAAACAUGAAUUCACAAUCAUAUUAUAUAAAUAUAAAUUGAAAAAAUCAAUUGUAUAUUCCAAAUAAAAUUAUGAACUCAAGUCUAAAUAGUUUAUAGUUUAUCUAAUUAACCAAUACAUGUGUGCAGACUGACAUUUCAUAUCAUAUUUUUCAGGAAUGAUACAUGCAGGAAUUUGUGCCACACAUUUCAACAAUUUCCUUAAUGGAUUGAAUGUACUUUCUGUGAAUUCAUCAACCAUACUUAAAGUAAAAGGAGAAUGAAACUGGAAAGAAAAUAUUUGCAGUUGCAAAAGAAUCCUGUAAAUAAAUUUAAAAGAAGAAACAGUUUUAAACAUGGUUAAUUUAAUGAAUAAUUGGAAGGUAAUUAAAAACCUUUAGUUAUAUAAUUUCAAAGUAUUUUUUUGAUAAUUUUCCAAAGUAGACAUAUAAGUAAAUAUAAAUGAGGACCAUAGUUAUAUUCAUAUUUCAUAAAAAUGAAUUAACAGAUCUUGGUAAUAAUUUCAAGUUUAGGGUCAAUAUUUCAAAUCAAUUUUGUGGUAAAGCAUUGUUAUAUAUACUUGAAGACUUUCAUGUAUAGAACAUGACAGAAUUUGUUUCAACAAAAAUCUAGAAUUAGUUACAUUUGUAUUUAUUAAAUGAAAUCUAUAUUAAUGGAUAAUUUCAACAAAUUUAAUGAAACCUAUUUGGUUUUGAAAGCCUUUAUCAUCAUUAUUAUUACAAAUUUCAUUGUUAACAGCCUGAGUUUCCAGUUAAUUUUAAAUGUAAUAUGUUUUAGCUAUAGUAUUUGAACACUGCAUGCACUUUCAUUUAUAUAUAUUUGUUACUACUUUUUUUCAUUAGGUUGAAGCUAGUUUUGUUGCAGAAUGGCAAAUGUUUGGUACUGAUUGAAACUAUGAAAGUAAUACAGGUAAAUUUAAAGAAUUUAGGCUUUAACUUUAUUAAUAGAAAAGAUAUUCCCAAAUGUCAAGGUGAAAGUGGACAUUGUAGAUUCUAAACACCCAUGUGAAAGCAACAGUCUUCUAUGGUGAGAGGAUGCCAUACUUAGCAAUGCUCUUGUUAUUAUAUGGAAUAUGAUUUUUUUCUCAGUUUCAAUGUGAGUGGAUUUAUAGUUAUUUUAUUAAAAGAAAUGGAUUUUUUUAUCAUUAUUUUGAUCUUGAACAACCAAAAUUGAUAACAAGUAAUAUAAAAGUCUCACUUAUUAAAUCCUAUAUCAUAUAAAUUUACUUAUUUAAUUUUUGUUAUAUUUCUUAUCAAUUGUAGGUCUCAUGGUCAUCAUUUAACAGCAGGUUAUUAGCAGCAGUUUUACAGAAAAAUGAAGGAUGGCUGUCAAUGGUAAAUACA
rnacentral:lncRNA from 1 species